AACCUAUUCUGAGGCACAGGGGGCAGUUUGUACUCCCAUUGUCAGUCAGUCAGUGGCUGGAGCUGCCUGCUCCUCCUAGGGAAAAGAGUUCGUAACUUCCCAGCAGGCAGCUCUUGUCAGUCAAGGGCAGUUAUCCUAAGAAGGGGAGGAAAAGGCGCAGCCAUGAUCUCCCUGUAAACCAGGAUCCACCUCCUCGAGGACUCCGAAUUCUCAUUCCACUACAGACUCCUGCUCCAGCGCUGCCAUGUACCUACCACCUCUGCAGAGUCCCAGUUUAUCGUGACCAGCCUCUCACUGCUGAGAAUGAAUGACUUCUCCAUCAGAGGACGGGGCCAUCUUAUGCCUGUUUUUCUCUGAAUCUGGUAGCAGUAGGAGGCAGAUAUCCUUUUCAGAAAGCGACGUUUGCUUGAUGACAUCCCAUCUUGUGACAUCAUUUCUGGCUUCUGUGCCUGGGGACAUCUGAGGAUCAUUGCAUAUUUCCCAAUCCCAACUGUCCCUGGAAUAUGUGUUCUCUGGGCUCCAUCUCUGACCUUCUGUGCUUGUAUACCCUUGGCUGGCUCAUUCCCAGUGGUAAGAGAUACUGUCAGCAAGACAAUCACUUAAUACUCCCCCUACCCCCACCAACUAGUUUCGACCUGUUUAUCCUCCAAGGACCCUGAUGGACCACAUUUCAGGCAUUCCCACUACCUCUUCUUUUGGCAACUCCUAUCCAAGCCUCUACAC
ensembl:lncRNA